GAUGAACGCUGGCGGCGUGCCUAAUACAUGCAAGUCGAGCGAACGGACGAGAAGCUUGCUUCUCUGAUGUUAGCGGCGGACGGGUGAGUAACACGUGGAUAACCUACCUAUAAGACUGGGAUAACUUCGGGAAACCGGAGCUAAUACCGGAUAAUAUUUUGAACCGCAUGGUUCAAAAGUGAAAGACGGUCUUGCUGUCACUUAUAGAUGGAUCCGCGCUGCAUUAGCUAGUUGGUAAGGUAACGGCUUACCAAGGCAACGAUGCAUAGCCGACCUGAGAGGGGGAUCGGCCACACUGGAACUGAGACACGGUCCAGACUCCUACGGGAGGCAGCAGUAGGGAAUCUUCCGCAAAGGGCGAAAGCCUGACGGAGCAACGCCGCGUGAGUGAUGAAGGUCUUCGGAUCGUAAAACUCUGUUAUUAGUGAAGAACAUAUGUGUAAGUAACUGUGCACAUCUUGACGGUACCUAAUCAGAAAGCCACGGCUAACUACGUG
rnacentral:rRNA from 1 species